UACGUAGGGUGCGAGCGUUGUCCGGAAUUAUUGGGCGUAAAGCGUGCGUAGACGGUUAUGUAAGUCAGGUGUGAAAGCCCCGGGCUCAACCUGGGAAUUGCAUUUGAGACUGCAUAGCUAGGGUGCGGAAGAGGGAAGCGGAAUUUCCGGUGUAGCGGUGAAAUGCGUAGAUAUCGGAAGGAACAUCAGUGGCGAAAGCGGCUUCCUGGUCCAGCACCGACGUUCAGGCACGAAAGCGUGGGGAGCAAACAGG
rnacentral:rRNA from 1 species